rnacentral:lncRNA from 1 species
ACUCUUUGAGUUGCUGCUUUCUGCUGCAGUUGGCCACAGCCUGCAACACCAAGGUAAGCUGGGGGCUCCUUGCCCUUUUGGUGUAGACAAAAUGAACCUGAAGCCCUAGCUGUGUUCACAAGGAAUCUCAACACCUCUCCAUGCUUUUCACAUCCCAAGAGGCUGCAUCUUCUUGGACCUGGGAGCCACAAAAGGCUUGAUCCCUGAGUCACUCUGCAGAGGAGAGCUGCCUGCCUCUGUGCAGCUCCUGGUCUCCAACAUGUAUCUGUGGGUGCUCUUUCCUCUCUACUCCUCAUCAGUGUGCAUGGAAGAGCAGCAUCCCCCGCCAGUGUCCUCACAGGAAGUAGGCACACGAUGGCUGCAUGAGCAGAACGCUUCGGUUUAUGGGGAGUUGUACCCAUACUAUGGAAACCAUGACCAUGCUUUUCUCCACAAUGAAAACACCACUUCAUCUUCACAGCUUAUAGCCUUAAUUAUUAAGCCACACUGAAUUACAAUCAGAAGGAUCUCAUAAAAGCUGGUCCAUGUGCUAUCGCCAGUCAGCUCACUCAGCCUUUUCUCUGCAGCAUAUGAACUGGCUUAGAAAUAUUUCUUGAGUGAGAAGUUUUUUUUUUAUUGCUUUAAAGACAACAGAGGUUUACUGUUAUGUAACUGUGGAGGCCAGAAGCCUAAAAUCAGUAUUACUGGGCAGAAAUCAAAGUGUCCACAGGGCCACACUCUCUCUGAAGACAUUGGGGGAGAAUUUUUUUGCUUAUCUUUUCCAACUUCUGGUGGCUGCUGACAUUCCUUUGAGCAAGAGCUUUGAGCAAGUUUCUUGGAAACGUUGUCUGCGACAGAACUUUGCUUCACCAUCUUCUGAAUGCUUAUAUUCAGCUCCAUGGGUUAGAAUUAUAAAGAAGAAGAAGGAGGAGGAGGAAAAGGAGGAGAAGGAAGAGGAAGAAGAAAGAGGCUGGGCACGGUGGCUCACGCCUGUAAACCCAGCACUUUGGGAGGCCGAGGCAGGCGGAUCAUGAGGUCAGGAGAUCGAGACGAUCCUGACUAACACGGUGAAACCCCGUCUCUACUAAAAAUACAAAAACAAAAUUAGCUGGGCGUGGUGGCGGGCUCCUGUAGUCCCAGCUACUCGGGAGGCUGAGGUGGGAGAAUGGUGUGAACUCAGGAGGCAGAGCUUGCAGUGAGCUGAGAUCAUGCCACUGCACUCCAGCCUGGGUGACAGAGCAAGACUCCAUCUCAAAAAAGGAAGAAAGGAAGGAAGGAAGGAAGGAAGGAAGGAAGGGAGUGAGUGAAGAAGAAGGAGAAGGGGAAGAGGAAGAGGAAGAAGAAAUAAGAAAGGAAGAAGAAGGAGAAGGAGGAGGAGGAAAAAGAGGAGGAGGAGAAGGAGAGGAGGAAGAGGAGGAGGAAGAAGAGGAGAAGCAGCAUCAGCAUGCCAAGCCCUCCCAGGAACACUCCCGGAGAAGCGCCCCGGCUACUGUCCUGAGCUGAGCCACGGGAAAUGCUGUGGUCCCUGCUGAGAAGCAGCUGGUCUGACUCAGAAGAGCACAGGCUGUCCUCACGGCAGUCCGGACCCUAUCUAUCAUAGAGGGCGGAAGCCGGAGGGAUGGCGGCCAGGGUCCCCUUGGGGCCAGACGCUCUGUGCCAGCGCUGAGAUGACUCAGGCACUUGGUGGCUGUUAUGGGCUUCCUUGGCCCCUGUCUAUCCUCCUCCCUGGCCUGGACAGAGGACACUAAGCCUGACUCCUGCCCACUCUGCCCUUUCUUCUCUGGCUGCAAACAGACCCAGCUGGUCACUGGGCCCCACUCCCACCUGCAUAGAUUUAUUCUCUCAUCGUUCUGGAGGCGAAGGCUGGAAGUCCAAGUUCGAGGUGUUGACUGCCCUCCCACUGAAGGUCUGUAGAAGAAUCCUACCUGGGCUCUUCUGGUUUCUGGCUCCCCGGGGCUCCACCUCAGCAACCCGGCUCCCAUUGCCUUCACGACGGCCCCAAGCCAGCCUUCAAGGUCACCGCUCGCAAAGGAGGAGGGUGCAACGCAGCACAACCGCCCGAGUUCCAGCAGCAUGAAGUUCCACUUUAUUUCUGUCCAUGGAACCAGCAGAGCCUGUGAGCCCACAGCAGAGUCACCCGCAUCACGUCCCCAACACACUGGGAGCCAGGACCAACAAGGAGUCGCUAAAUCAGGGUUGCUCUGCUCAGCGCCACUGACGUUUGGGGCCAAAAACCUCUUCAUUGUCCUGGACAUUGCAGGCUGUUCAGCAGCUCCCCUGGCCCUACUUACAAGAUGCAAAAGAAAGUUGUGCCAUGAUGCUUUUGUUCAACAAAGGAAACUGAGGCCCAGGAAGGGGCCAGACCUAUGGAAGUUCACACUCCGCACUGUCUUCUCAACCCCCUGCCUCUGCAGCCCAGCACCUUCACCACCCCGCAUCCAUCCUAAUCCCUGUCCUUGAAGAUCCGCCCUCGAAGCAGACACUGUGAUGGUGAAAGCAAACCAGCCCCGAGUGUGGCUGAGACCCCAGAAGGGAGGAGGGUGCCUUCCUCUCAGGACACAGGAUAGCGUGUCUCCCACCACCCUAGGGGAGCCCCAGGAUUCUCCCACAUUCUUGGUCUUGGUGGGGUGUGAUCCUGUGAUGGUUAAUUUAUGUGUUAGCUUGGCUAAGCCAUGGUACCCAAACAUUUGGUUAAACAGUAGUCUCAACGUUGCUAUGAAAGGACUCUUCAGAUGUGAUUAACUUCUUUUGUUUCUGGAGAUAGGGUUUUGCCACAUUGCCCAGGCUGGUCUUGAACUCCUGGACUCAGGCAAUCUGCCUGCCUCAGCUUCCCAAAGCGCUGGAAUUAUGUGCCACUGUACCUGGCCAAGAUGUGAUUAACAUUUAAACCAGCAGACUCUGGAGUGUGAGUGGGCCUUGUCCAAUCAGGUGAUGGUAAAGAUGGAGGCUCCCGCAAAGAGGAGGCGUUCUCCCUGCAGUCUCAUCAAUUCAUCCCUGGGUCUCCAGCCUGCUGAGUACCACUUUUUGGACUUGCCAGCCCCACAAUUACAUGAGCCAAUUCCUUGUAAUCUCUCUAGCACUCUCCCUCUCUUUCUCCAUAUCUAUAUCCAAUUGGUUCAUCUCCAGAGAAGCCUGACUCAUACAGCUUCCAUCUCAGGCAAGACAACAAGAAGGAGACUCCUCCUCUGGGGCCUGGGGGAGAGCUAGCACACAGGCAGGCUGACCCUGAGCCCCUGCCACCCAUUUCCUCACUGGGCAGCUAGGUCCACUCUGUGAUGUGGGCCAGGCAAGGCCCCCGCGGGCUCUCUGGCUCUGCCCUGGGGAGGUCAGCUCGGUCUCAAGGGACUUGCUGGCGAACACACACAGACUGCUCAUCUCCCACAUUUCCAGUUUCCUUGCAGGGAUGCAGCCCUUGAAAUACAUUUUCCUGAGUUAAGAAAGAGAGAAAUAAAAGGGGGCAAGCCAGCUUCAACUUCACUUGGCAUUGCCCACCCAGAGCCCAGGGACUGGCACUAACGGACAACGGGGAUGGGUCUGUGUCCCCGAUGGGCAGCAUCUGUCUCCACUCAGAUCAAAGCUGCAAGCAUCUCGGGACAGCUCCAGGCUGAGUGGGGAGAGGCAGGAGCAGAUGGGUGCCAAGCGUGGUCCCCGCCCUGCACAGGUCGCCCCGUGCCCCCGUCUGCCCAUGCAGCUUACUUCUCCCAGUCUCUGUCUGUGCCAGAACUCUCCUGAUGGCUUCCGGGCUGCCCGGGGCUAGGCAUGACCCUUGUCCACGCAUUUUCUCUCAUCAGUCUUCCUGACUGCAGGUCAGGGUGAAAUUCUGCCACCCUCACUCUCACUCCAUCCCCUGCCUCCCUCGACCCCCUGCUCCCAGGCUGCAAGGGUUGCUAGGAGGACCCCGGCCAUGUCUACAGUGGCCCUCCCCAGCCUUCUAAAGCUGGAGUCCAGCCAAGGCCAGGAAAGAGAGUGUCUGUCAUCUUGGGGGGCUCUGCUCACAGGCUCCAGAUGACGCCUGAGUCCACCAUCCUCUGCCUCCCUCGCCCCCAGCAGACAUCAGCUGGAUAUCCUCAGUGGCAGGCAGGGAGGCCAUGGCCAAGAUAACAGAGUCAGAGAGCUAGCCUCAGAGAGCUCAGCCCUGGGAGCGAGAUCCUUCUGUACUAGAACGUGCACAGGUUCAGUGCAUAAUUCCUCAACCCACAAUUUGCUCUCUGCCCUUGCACUGUCCACAAGGGCAGGGCAGGGGCAGCAGCUUCUAUCUCAGUCAGAUCCCUAUUAGUCAUGGGCCGUCAUCCUCUGCAUGUCCACCACGUGCCUUACAGAGAACCGGAGGCCCAGUCCCAACCUCGCCCAUCCAGCUGAUGUCUGCUGGCCCCAUGCACUGAGCGUGCAAGCUGCCCCGAUCCAGUCCCUGACUCAAUGGGGCUUACCUCAAGUGAGGGAGAUGGCACUUGUCCACUACACAGAUAGGUCAGGCCCUAAGUGCUCAUGAAGGGAACUGGUGGGGAGGUGAUGGAGAAUGACCGUGGAGGGGGAGGAGGGAGGUGCCACUUCCAGAGAGAGCUCAGGGAGCCUUCUGAGCAGGUGAUGAUAAGCUCAGCCUGGGGAGGAAGAGCUGGCCACAGACAGAGCCAAGGAGAGAGCCACAGCCAGAGCCAUGAACAGAGGAGAGAGCCCCAGGAAAGUUCUGAGGCAGGGGAGCACGGGGCAUACUAAAAGACAGACACCAGGCACAGGGUAUGGGGAAGAAGGCGCAGCUGGGCUCACACCAGGUGAGGUGACCAGCUGGGAUUUCACCUGCCAAGCAACAAGAAGCCAGGAAGGACACUAGGCAGAGACGGGGCUUCUGGAUCCACUGUCAGUGACCACAUAGGAGAUUCCUGCAAGGAGUGGGGGUUGGUGCUGGAGAGAAGAGGCUGGACUCACUCAUUCAGCCAACACAGGCGCAUGGUCAGGAGGCAACACUGGGGCCACAGGGACAGGACAGGGAACAAGCAGACCCCACCCUCUAGACCUAACCUGUAGACCACAGACAUAGUGUGAAGGUCACAGAGAGGGGGCUUGAUGUGUUGGGGAGAGACAGAGAGGACCUGAGGGCGUGUCCUAGCGUGUGGGCGCCAGCAGAGGAGUAGGAUGUGGUGCCAUUUACAGAGACUGGAAGGCCGGGGGCGGGACAGAUUGAAGGGACCAAAAGCAGGUUGAGUCUUGCGGAGUCUGGGGUUCCUAUGAGACGCCCAGUGGAGGGGCCAGGCAGGCACCUCCGCCCAGGAAUCAGGCUCUCCAAGGAGAGGUGUCUGUCGCAUCAAGGACAAGGAAUCCCGGUGGGAAUCCUCAGCACCAAGACCUGGGUAAAGCACUGAGAUGAAGCGAUCAGGGCUGGAAAACCAGGAAACCAGGAAACCAGGACUUUCACAGCAAGUCAUUUAGAAAACAUAGACUCACUCACAGAUGGACUGCGAUGCACGAGGGCUGAGCCCUGAGAGGAAGAGAUCAGGGCUGGAAAACCAGGAAACCAGGACUUUCACAAGCAAAUCAUUUAGAAAACAUAGACUCACUCACGGAUGGACUGCGAUGCACGAGGGCUGAGUAGAUCUAGGCUGAGCGAGCAAGGGGAGGAGUGGGAGUGUGAGAUGGGGCGGGAGAGGAACGGGAAGGAGGGCGUGUGAACAGAAGGCUCACGAUGGGCGCCAGGAGCUCAAGGAGGCAGCUGGGAGGGGCAUGGGCGAUGGGCAGCGGGGGUGAUGAGGCCGGUUUGUGGGAGGAACCGCACUGUGAGGAGGGGAGAGGAUCCUUCCAGAAACCCUCCCAGAGAGGCUUGCCAGGUGGACAGUGGUGGGCAAAUGUUCGUGAGAAGCACGGAUGUACUGUAGCAGGGAAGAAUGGGAGCACUCCAGGACACAGCAGGAUGGCGGCCACGUGCUGGCCGCACCCGUGACUCGCACACAAGGGCAUGGUGCCAUCUGCCCAAUCCUGCCCUUGGCCUGACAUCCAAUGGGGAAUGUGGACGUGGAUGUGCCCCGGUCUUCUCAGCUCAAGGAGUCGCCACGAAUCCACUGGAACAGACGCUGUUGGCCAUCCCUGAAACAUGCGGGUGUCAUGCUCCGGCUCCUGCUGACUCAGGGCAAACCUGAUCCUAGCCAGAGGUGGAGCAUGCAGCCAGGAAGAACAUGGACACGGUAUGUUCACACACACGGCGCUCGGCCCACCACUCGCCCACGAACAUUUUUCACGCCACUCAGCCAAAGGCAAAUGCCUGCCCUACGCAAGACCAGCUCAGAAAUCCAUGACUUCCAAAGUUGGCUCUGUGAUUAUCAGUGCGUGCCAAGGAGCCUGUGUCUCCCUGAGAUCUGAAACCUUGGCAGGAAGCUGAGAUGAGAGAUUGUUGCAGGGAUGGUGAAGAACUGGUAUCCUUUGCAAGAAAAAUACUAACUGGUGGCUCCGCCGUGCUUCAUUUCUGGCAGAGCCCUGACUUGGAUGCACUCUGACUGUCGAACAAUAGCCCUAAAUGAUAGAAGGUUCUGAAGUCUCACCCGUGUGGCAGGGGCACAUUUGAUCCAGGUUCCCAUGGCUGCACGUGGCUCCAGCAUGAUCAGCCACGUUUCACCUGCACAUUCUUUCUCUGAUGGCCGGCACCCGGCUGCCUCCAAUGCUCUCCCACGUACGUUCUCCACACGGAACAGCCUCAAACCCGUGGACCGCGGCAGAUCCCAUGGAAUGCCUCUGGGUUGUAUACUCAGCAGCGUAACCUCUGGAUCAUAGCAUCAGGAGCCCCAGAUCCUUCUGGAAAGGCUGAAGCAUCCACACUCCAUCAGCCACCAUGAACUUGCCUGCAGAACCCAUCCAGGCCAACAUUUGGCUUAACCAGCUUUUUAACUGUUUGCCAGUCCAACAGCUGGACUGUUUGCCAGUCCAACAGCUGGAAAGUGGCAUUGUGUUCUAGUUCUCAUGUGUGUGAUUACUAAUGACCUUGAGCUUCUCUUUAUAUGCAUACUAGCUUUGGGGUUUUUCUUUCUGUCAUCUGUCCGUAUCCCUUGCCCAUUCUUCUGCUGCGGUUGCUCUCCUUGUCUUUUUGAUUGGCUGGAGUCCCUUGUUAAUCCCUCAUCAACUAUUAACAUUGCAAAUAUCUUUUCUCAUUUGUUCAGCUGUGCAUUAACUUUGUCCAUCUUGUCUUUCAUUUAACAAAAAUCUCUAACUCUGACAUAAUGAAAUGUGUCAAUGUGUUACCCUAUGGUUUGUGCUUUCAGAUUUUUAUUUAAGACAUUCCUGCUUAUAAGUAACAAAGAUUUUUCUCCUGUAUAUUCUUUUAACUUUUUCUUUUGCUACUAGGACUUUAAUUUAACUAGAAUCCAGCUGUGUAUAUGGUGUUAGGUAGAAUUCACGGUUUUUAAAAAAAAUGUUUUAUCACAGAUUAGUACUGCUAUGGUUUGAAUGAUUAUCCACUUCAAAACUCAUAUUGAAAUUCAGGCUGGGCGCAGUGGCUCACACCUGUAAUCCCAGCACUUUGGGAGGCUGAGGUGGGCGGAUCACCUGAGGUCAGGAGUUUGAGACCAACCUGGCCAACAUGGAGAAACCCUGUCUCUACUAAAAAUACAAAAAUGAGCCGGGCAUGGUGGCAUAUGCCUGUAGUCCCAGCUACUCGGGAGGCUGAGGCAGGAAAAUCACUUGAACCUGGAAGGCGGAGGUUGCAGUGAGCCAAGACCAUGCCACUGCACUCCAGCCUGGGCAACAGAGCAAGAUUCUGUCAAAAAAAGAAAAAAAAAAAGGGAAGGAAGGAAGAAAUUUAAUUGUCAUGGACACAGUAUUAAGACGUAGGACCAGGUUAGGCAUUGUGGCUCACACCUGUAAUCUUAGCACUUUGGGAAAACCAAGUUGGGCAGAUCACCUGAGCUCAAGAGUUUGAGACCAGCCUGGGCAACACAGUGAAACCCCAUCUUCACCAAAACAAUAAAAAAUUAGCUGGGUGUGGUAGAGCACACCUGUGGUCCCGGCUACUCCAGAAGCUGAGAUGGAAGGAUCACUUGAACCCAGGAGGCAGAGGUUGCAGUGAUCUAAGAUUGUGCCACUGCACUCCAGCCUGGGUGACAGAGAGAGACCCCAUCUUUAAAAAAAAAAAAAAAAAAAGGUCUGGGACCUUUGGAGGUGAUUAGGCAAUGAGUGCUCAUCCCUCUUGAGUGGGAUUCGUGUUUUUAUAAAAGGACAAGUUCAUCCCCUUCUUGCCCUCCUGCCUUCUGCCAUGGGACAAUGCAGCAAGAAGGCCCUCACCAGAUGUCAGCACCUUGACCUUAGACUUUCCAGCGUCCAGAACUGUGAGAAAAUACAUUUCUGUUUGUCAUAAAUUACCUAAUCUCAAGUAUUCUGUUGUAGAGCACAAAACAGAUGAAGAUUGAUACUGAGAUUUAUCAAAUGCUUUUUCUGCAUUGAUUGAGAUAAAAUAUAUUUCUUUAAUCUAUUACAAUAGUGAAUUAUAUUGAGAGAUUGUUAGAUAUUCCUGGAUGAACUCUACUUCAUCACUUAUUUUUCUUAAUAUUCUUUUAACUAAUUUUAAAAAAAAUUAACUAAUAUUUUACUUAGGAUUUUUAAAACUCCAUUUAUAAAUAAAUGGGUCUAUAUAUUUUUUAAUUCCUGUUGUCCCUAUUUGAUUUUGAAAUCCAGAUUACAUGAGCCUCACAAAAUGAGCCAGACAGUUUCCAUUCAUUUUCUAAUUUUCCAAAUAUCUUGUAUAAAAUAGAAAUUAACCAUUCCUAGAAAAUAUUAUAGAAAUCUCCGAAAACAAUUAUCCAGACUUGGAUUUUUUUGGUGCCUUUGACUGCCAUUUAACUUCUUUCACAUGCAUUCAUCUAUUCAAGUUAUCUGUCUUGUCUUUCACAAGUUUGGCAUUUUAUGCUUUUUAUAAGAAUUUGUCCGGCCAGGCACGGUAGCUCACACCUGUAAUCCCAGCACUUUGGGAGGCCAAGGUGGGCAGAUCACCUGAGGCUGGGAGUUCGAGACCAGCCUGAUCAACAUGGAGAAACCCUGUCUCUACUAAAAAUACAAAAUUAGCUGGGCAUGGUGGUGCAUGCCUGUAAUCCCAGCUACUCAGGAGGCUGAGGCAGGAGAAUCACUUGAACCCGGAAGGCGGAGGUUGCGGUGAGCAGAGAUUGUGCCAUUUUGCACUCCAGCCUGGGUAACAGGAGUGAAACUCUGCCUCAAAAAAAAAAAAAAAAAGGAAUUCAUCCAUGUCAUCUAAGUAUCAAAUUUGUUAAAUAUGCCUAUGCAUAAUACCAAUUAAUUAUCUUAUUUAUUCCCCCUCUUGCCCUCCUGCCUUCUGCCAUGGGAUAAUGCAGCAAGAAGGCCCUCACCAGAUCCCAUUUUUAUUGGUCUUUCCAGAAGUCUGUCUAGCAUAUUAAAUUUUUUAAACCAGAUUUUGAUUUUGUUCAUCCUCUGUAGGUUUUAUUCAUUCUAUCUGUUUCUACUCUUAUAUUUUUCAGCUCCUUUCUUAUGUUUUCUGGGAGUGGAGUUGGAUAGGUGUUGCUCUCUUGCUCUUUUUCCAGCUGCUUGUGCUAAAUAGCUGGCUCAUUUGUUUUUCCCAUUUGUUGUUUCCUGAUGAACGCAUUAUAAUCUUUCAAUAUCCCUUUAAGAGCUACCUUGGCUUUGCCCGAAGGCAUGUCACUGAUUUGGGCAGGUCACAUUGCGUAUACAUAGAGGAAGUGCUCACAUAAGUAGAGUACUCACUCUAUGCACUUCUUUUUUUUUUUUUUUUUUUUUUUUUGAGACGGAGUCUGGCUCUGUUGCCCAAGCUGGAAUGCAGUGGCGCGAUCUCGGCUCACUGCAACCUCCACCUCCUGGGUUCACGCCAUUCUCCUGCCUCAGUCUCCUGAGUAGCUGGGACUACAGGUGCCCACCACCACGCCCAGUUAAUUUUUUUGUAUUUUUAGUAGAGACGGGGUUUCACCGUGUUACACUCUAUGUACUUCCUAAUUUCCUUGAUCAUUUCCAAGGGCUAUCCAUAAAUAUAUUAAUUACUUUCCAAAAUAUUGGAGUUGUUAAAAAAAAUUGUUUUGUUAAUUUUAAUGUCAUUGAUUUGUGAUUAGAGAAUGCAGUUUAUUUUGUAUUAAUUAUUAGAACUUUAUUGAGACUUCCUUCAUGGCUCAGUGUCUGGCCUAUUUUGGUAAAUGGUGUGUGCGUGCAUGGGGGAAAGGCAUAGCCUCUGUCUGAUGAAUGGUAAGUUCUCUACAUAUCUCAUAUCUUCAGCUUACUCAUUGUAUUGAUCAAGACUUCAGUAUCUGUUUUCUCUGUUCGAUCAUUAAAAGCUCCAACUACAAUUGUUGAUGUAUGUUUUUCUCCCUGGAUUUGUAAGUAUUGCUUGAUAUUUUUAGAGGCUGUUCAAUUAGAUUGACCCUUGAACAGCACUGGGGUUAGGAGCUCUGCCCCCAUAAAGUGUAUUGCUUUACACUUUUGACUCCCCCAAAACUUAAUUACUAACAGCCUACUGUUGACCGGAAGCCUUACCAAUACCAUAAACAGUCAGUUAACACAAAUUUUAUCUGUUUUAUAAGUAUAUACUAUAUUCUUACAAUAAAGUAAGCUAGAGAAAAGAAAAUGUUAUUAAGAAAAUCAUAAGGAAAAAUAUUCACUGAUCAUUAAGCAGAAGUGGAUCAUCUUAAGAUCUUUUUUGGGUUGUUUUGUUUUGUUUCUUGAGACUGGGUUUUCUUUGAGACCGCACUCCCAGGCUGGAGUGCAGUGGCGCAAUCAGGGCUCACUGCAGCCUCAAUCUCCCUGGGCUCAGGUCCUCCCACCUCAGCCUCCCGAGUAACUGGGACUACAGGCACACGCCCUGCUAGUUUUUUGUAGAGAUAGGGUUUCACUACAUUGCUCAAGCUGGUCUCAAACUCUUGGGCUCAAGCCAUCCAUCCACCUUGGCCUCCCAAAGUGCUAAGAUUACGGGUGUUGAGACACCAAAACUGAACCCAGCCAUAAAGAUCUUCAUCGUUGUCGUCUUCACAUUGAGGAACCUGAGGAGGAGGAAAAGGAAGAGGAGGGGUUGGUCUUGCUGUCUCAGGGGUGGCAGAGGCAGAGGAAAAUCCACAUAUAAACGGACCCAGCCAGUACAAACCCACGCUGUUCAGGGGUCAACGGUAUGUGUACAUAAUGAAUUGAUCUUUAAUUAUUUAGAAUUAAUGGGUGUCUGUCCUUUUUUAAAAAAAAAAUCUUAAAUCUUGUUUUGUGCCUUUAUCUUGUCAAAAUUGUGAUAAUACCACUCGCUGUAUCAGAGAGUUAACUUGCAGAUUAAACAGGUUAUUCCAUGCAAUGCAUUUUAAACCAGGUCUAGAAUCCUGAAACCCUGCUCAGCGCUAACUUUGUUGUUUUUCCUUUUUUUCUUUUUUCUUU